rnacentral:misc_RNA from 1 species
GGAAGCUAGAGGCGUUUGCUAGCCGGGCGAAGAUUGUGCAUAUUGAUAUCGACCCGGCGGAGAUAGGGAAGAACAAGCAGCCCCAUGUAUCGAUUCACGCUGAUAUCAAGCUGGCGUUGCGAGGACUCAACCAGUUGCUCGAAGAGGGCGGGGUUUAUCAGAGGUUUAACUUCUCGGCUUGGGAGGAGGAGCUCAAUCAGCAGAAGAAAGCGUUCCCGUUGGGGUAUAAGUCGUUUGGAGAGGCCAUCCCUCCUCAGUAUGCGAUUCAGGUACUUGACGAGCUGACGAAGGGGGAGGCGAUUAUCAGCACUGGUGUUGGGCAGCAUCAGAUGUGGGCGGCACAGUAUUUCACAUACAAUCGGCCAAGGCAGUGGCUGACGUCGGCUGGGUUAGGGGCGAUGGGUUUCGGACUCCCUGCGGCUGCUGGUGCGGCAGUUGGAAACCCGGGUGUUACGGUUGUCGACAUUGAUGGCGAUGGUAGUUUUCUCAUGAAUGUUCAGGAGUUGGCGAUGAUACGGAUCGAGAAUCUUCCGGUAAAGGUCAUGUUGCUGAACAACCAACACUUGGGUAUGGUUGUCCAGUGGGAGGACCGGUUCUACAAGGCCAAUCGGGGGCAUACUUACUUGGGCAAUCCAGCGAAUGAGGAAGAGAUAUAUCCGGACUUCAUCACGAUUGCCAAGGGCUUCAACAUACCCGCAGUUCGUGUGGUUAGGAAGGACGAGGUCAGGGAGGC